rnacentral:lncRNA from 1 species
GGAGACUGUCGCGAUGAUUGUUGGUCGGUUGCGGAGCUUGCAACACGAGCUGGUAGCGCCAGCGUUGGCGAGAGAGUGAGGUGUCCCCAGUGCAGUAGGCGGGGGAAAGCUUAAGGCGACCAGUGCCCUCCGGUCCUCGUCGCUGCACGUCGAGGUCAAGUCUGAGGCUGCAAGCUGAUGCAUCCACAGACAUCAUUGUCGACUGCAUCUUCAACCUCCGGAUGCCGCUUCCGUACACUGCUUCGUCAACCUCAGCCGUGACCCUUCCUCCCGGUCGCCGUGUUUAAUAUCCUAUUCGUCGGCCGCCUAUCUCGAGCACCGCGAGCGAAGGUGGAUGCCCUGACUGCCAAUCACCAAGGUGAGCUCCAAUUUUUGUUGAUGUGCAGUUUGUUUGUCGGACGCCACCUAAGCUAUGAAGUUCUACACAAUGUGAACUGUUUGUUGUGAGCUCUGUAGUGUUGUGUCCUUUAAAAGUGGGCAUGUUAGGCUUGUUGUAGACAGUGCUAUGCUUGUUGCUAGUGAUUGAUUGCUAGAUGUGCUAUGAUUGUUACAGACAGUGGGAAUGGUAAGUACUGACGAAUUUUGAUUCAGUUGGUUAGUUACUAUAAGCAAGAACACGCUAUAAGCGCCAAAAUGCUAGAGAGAAAAGUUCAAGAGCCAAGAACACAACAGGGUCGUUGACUUGGUAAGCCUCUUUGAUGUAAUAAAUUGGUGUUGGU